AAAUUGAAGAGUUUGAUCAUGGCUCAGAUUGAACGCUGGCGGCAGGCCUAACACAUGCAAGUCGAACGGUAACAGGAAACAGCUUGCUGUUUCGCUGACGAGUGGCGGACGGGUGAGUAAUGUCUGGGAAACUGCCUGAUGGAGGGGGAUAACUACUGGAAACGGUAGCUAAUACCGCAUAACGUCGCAAGACCAAAGAGGGGGACCUUCGGGCCUCUUGCCAUCGGAUGUGCCCAGAUGGGAUUAGCUAGU
rnacentral:rRNA from 2 species